rnacentral:rRNA from 1 species
GAUGAACGCUGGCGGCGUGCCUAAUACAUGCAAGUCGAGCGAACAGACGAGGAGCUUGCUCCUCUGACGUUAGCGGCGGGCGGGUGAGUAACACGUGUAUAACCUACCUAUAAGACUGGGAUAACUUCGGGAAACCGGAGCUAAUACCGGAUAAUAUAUUGAACCGCAUGGUUCAAUAGUGAAAGACGGUUUUGCUGUCACUUAUAGAUGGAUCCGCGCCGCAUUAGCUAGUUGGUAAGGUAACGGCUUACCAAGGCAACGAUGCGUAGCCGACCUGAGAGGGUGAUCGGCCACACUGGAACUGAGACACGGUCCAGACUCCUACGGGAGGCAGCAGUAGGGAAUCUUCCGCAAUGGGCGAAAGCCUGACGGAGCCACGCCGCGUGAGUGAUGAAGGUCUUCGGAUCGUAAAGCUCUGUUAGUAGGGAAGAACAAAUGUGUAAGUAACUAUGCACGUCUUGACGGUACCUAAUCAGAAAGCCCCGGCUAACUACGUG